rnacentral:rRNA from 1 species
GAUGAACGCUAGCGGCAGGCUUAACACAUGCAAGUCGAGGGGUAGAGGUCGCUUGCAACCUUGAGACCGGCGCACGGGUGCGUAACGCGUAUGCAACCUACCUUUUACAGAGGGAUAGCCCAGAGAAAUUUGGAUUACUACCUCAUAGUAUAUAACCUUCGCAUGUUGGUUAUAUUAAAGUUUCAACGGUAAAAGAUGGGCAUGCGUCCUAUAAGCUAGAUGGUAAGGUAACGGCUGACCAUGGAAACGAUAGGUGGGGGUCCUGAGAGGGAGAUCCCCCACACUGGGAAUGAGACACGGAACAGACUCCUACGGGAGGAAGAAGUGAGGAAUAGUGGACAAAGGGCGCAAGCCUGAUCCAGCCAGGCCGCGUGCAGGAAGAAGCAUAUAUGGUGUGUAAACUGCUUUUGUACAGGAAGAAACACCCCGACGUGUCGGGACUUGACGGUACUGUAAGAAUAAGGAUCGGCUAACUCCGUGCCAGCCGCCGCCGUAAGAC